GUGGGGAAUCUUGCGCAAUGCGCGAAAGCGUGACGCAGCAACGCCGCGUGGGGGAAGACGGCCUUCGGGUUGUAAACCCCUUUCAGGAGGGACGAAGCCUAGGCCGUUAAUAGCGGUUCUAGGUGACGGUACCUCCAGAAGAAGCCCCGGCUAACUACGUGCCAGCAGCCGCGGUAAUACGUAGGGGGCAAGCGUUGUCCGGAAUUAUUGGGCGUAAAGAGCGUGUAGGCGGUCCGAUAAGUCGGCUGUGAAAGUCCAGGGCUCAACUCUGGAAUGCCGGCCGAUACUGUCGGACUAGAGUCCGGAAGAGGCAAGUGGAAUUCCCGGUGUAGCGGUGAAAUGCGCAGAUAUCGGGAGGAACACCAAUGGCGAAGGCAGCUUGCUGGGACGGCACUGACGCUGAGACGCGAAAGCGUGGGGAGCAAACAGGAUUAGAAACCCGUGUAGUCC
rnacentral:rRNA from 1 species